rnacentral:rRNA from 1 species
UACGUAGGGGGCAAGCGUUAUCCGGAUUUACUGGGUGUAAAGGGAGCGUAGACGGCGAUGCAAGCCAGAUGUGAAAGCCCGGGGCUCAACCCUGGGACUGCUUUUGAAACUGCCGGGCUGGAGUGCAGGAGAGGUAAGCGGAAUUCCUAGUGUAGCGGUGAAAUGCAUAGAUAUUAGGAGGAACACCAGUGGCGAAGGCGAUUUGCUGGACUGUAACUGACACUGAGGCACGAAAGCGUGGGGAGCAAACAGG